GUCAAAGACAAAGCCAGACACAGGGUGCCUGAGUGGCUCAGUCAGUUAAGUGUCCAACUCUUUUUCUUGGCUCAGGUCACGGUCUCACAGUUUGUGGGAUCAAGCCCCAUGUUGGGCCCUGCUUUGAAGGUGUGGAGCCUGCUUGGGAUUCUCUCCCCCCUCCCCCAUUUGCAUUCUCUCUCUCUCUCUCUCUCUCUCUCUCUCCAAUAUAUGGCAAUUACAGAGUGAUGUGUCAAUGCAAUAUAGAUUUUAGACGUUUCUUGAUGUGAAGUUGUGUUCAACAAGACCACUAAUUUCCUAUCAUUUAUUCAUCAUAAUGUAUAAUAUUCCAUUAUUUCACCCAAGGAAUAAUUUAUCAACAAAUAUUUGUUAAAUGAUGAAUGAAUAGUCAACAUUAAAAAUGGAAUAUAAUUCUUACGUAACGCUGUUGGCUAAGUAGGGAGAAUAGAUGUGGUGUUAGAAACUCCCCAAGUUGCUGAGGGGGGCAGUUAACAUAGUGACAGGUGUUCAGGAGGAGAGUGUAGUGUGGAGAGGUGCUAUUUUGCGAAGGAACUUCCAGCAGGGCCUCUGCCUAUGAUUAAUAAUUAUACAUUGUCUGCAUCACAUGUGCACCCUCAGGUUCAAAUGGGACUGAGAGCCAGCUUGCACUCUUGUUUCCUCACUGACCCAUGUAACUGAGCAUGGGGCUGACACAAUCCAAGGGAAAAACAGGCUUGCCUAAUCUUAAAGACACCUGAUGAGCUAUUGGCAGCCCAGUUUCCCUGUGUCCUGAUUUUUCUCUGGGAAUCAUUAGUCACUGAUUAGCUUGUAAAUAUUGGAGGGAACACAGGAUAGCUAAUUUUUCACAUGACACUACAUGUAUGAGACCAUGUGGUGGACUACCAAGAAUUCUUUCUUGCUAUUCCCACAUCAGCAGAGGACUGGAAUCUUUUGAAAGCUUUCUCUGAACACUGAGGAGGAUAGCUUUACUUUGUGGAUUCAGGGAUCCUGGGUGGGGCUCCAUAAAUGAUCCCAAGGAAAUCCUACCCUAUUUAACAACUGAAGCC
rnacentral:lncRNA from 1 species